rnacentral:rRNA from 1 species
GACGAACGCUGCGGCGUGCUUAACACAUGCAAGUCGAACGAAGAGCGAUGAAGCUUGCUUCUAUUAAUCUUAGUGGCGAACGGGUGAGUAACGCGUAAUCAACCUGCCCUUCAGAGGGGGACACAGUUGGAAACGACUGCUAAUACCGCAUACGAUCCAAUCUCGGCAUCGAGACUGGAUGAAAGGUGGCCUCUAUUUAUAAGCUAUCACUGAAGGAGGGGAUUGCGUCUGAUUAGCUAGUUGGAGGGGUAACGGCCCACCAAGGCGAUGAUCAGUAGCCGGUCUGAGAGGAUGAACGGCCACAUUGGGACUGAGACACGGCCCAGACUCUACGGGAGGCAGCAGUGGGGAAUCUUCCGCAAUGGACGAAAGUCUGACGGAGCAACGCCGCGUGAGUGAUGACGGCCUUCGGGUUGUAAAGCUCUGUUAAUCGGGACGAAUGGUUCUUGUGCAAAUAGUGCGAGGAUUUGACGGUACCGGAAUAGAAAGCCA